rnacentral:sRNA from 1 species
GCUGGGCAUGGUAGUGCAUGCCUGUAUUCCCAAGCAGCUUGGGAGGCUGAGGCAGGAGGAUCAUGAGUUCAAAGCCAGCCUCAGCAACAGCAAGGCCCUAAGCAACUCAGUGAGACCCUGUCACUA